rnacentral:rRNA from 1 species
CCUACGGGUGGCAGCAGUGAGGAAUAUUGGUCAAUGGACGAGAGUCUGAACCAGCCAAGUAGCGUGAAGGAUGACUGCCCUAUGGGUUGUAAACUUCUUUUAUAUGGGAAUAAAACGUUCCACGUGUGGGAUUUUGUAUGUACCAUAUGAAUAAGGAUCGGCUAACUCCGUGCCAGCAGCCGCGGUAAUACGGAGGAUCCGAGCGUUAUCCGGAUUUAUUGGGUGUAAAGGGAGCGUAGGUGGAUUGUUAAGUCAGUUGUGAAAGUUUGCGGCUCAACCGUAAAAUUGCAGUUGACACUGGCAGUCUUGAGUACAGGAGAGGUGGGCGGAAUUCGUGGUGUAGCGGUGAAAUGCUUAGAUAUCACGAAGAACUCCGAUUGCGAAGGCAGUUCACUGGACUGCAACUGACACUGAGGCUCGAAAGUGUGGGUAUCAAACAGGAUUAGAUACCCUAGUAGUC